UCAGCCUUUUCCCAAACUUGGCCUUUAAAAAAAAAAAAAAAAAAAAAAAAACCCACCCACAAGUCCCAGGAGCCUGCGCAUUAAAGUAAGCGGUGCGGCAGCUUUCCCGCCGGUUUUCUGCGUAAUGUAGCACGGCGGCCACGCCGCGGGGUGGAGCGCAUGUGGCGGUGUCCUUGCCGGAUGCGAAAGGAGGUGCCAGAAACUUUAAACCCCGGCCAGAAGACAACGUGUCCACUUAGACGGCGGACUCGUUUCAUAAAGGCAGGAUUUUAGGGAUCUCCAGUGAGCAGGAGAGCAAGUUACUGUGUAUCUUGCCUUAGAAGAGGAGACCCAAUCAGCCCUGAAUCCAGCUGCAGUAAUGCCAUGAGAAGCCAAAACCACAUGGAGAGGCUGUGUGUAGCUGCCUCGGCUCAACACGCAGCUGACAGCCCACAUCAACUACCAACCAUGUGAGAGAGCCGUUUUGGACGUGCAGCCCAUCUAGCCUUCAGAUGACUCCAGCCCCAACUGAUAGCCAACUGUGACCACGUGAGAAGCACCCAGCUGAGCCCAUUCAACCCGCAGAAGUAUGAAAGGGUGAUACACAAAUGUUGAACAGCGAUGAGCUUCAUUGAGCGAGAGGAUGGGAGACCUGAUGCGGGUGUUUCCCUUACGGAGGAGAGGCUCCAGUUACACGGGGGAAUGAUGCCGUGGACCAGGGGAGGGUCAAAACGCUUCCUACGCUCGGCGGACAGACCCGCGCUGGGUUGAUGGGGGCCUCCUGCGGAAUUCAGUUCUCGGCCAGAGAUUCCCUACCUUCGACCUGGGAAGAGAUGUGGGAGCCUGGGAGGCUCAGCAAACCUGGCGGCCGCUCUUUGGGUUUGGCAAACUCGAGAUUUUUCCAGUGCCUUGUGUUCAGCAAAACCAAAAAUGUGUUUGGCUAGAAAUGCUUCUCUUAAUUUUUAAACCCCUGUGCAUUUUUUACGUAAAUUUGAUCCACAUGGUUUUGAUUUAUUUUUAUUUAACUCAUCAAGUCAAAUUAGGAGCUACAAUGAUGAAUGGGAACAAUGCUGAUUUCCAAGAAGAUUUUUGAGCCUUUUUUCUUAGAACUAAAUCACAUUCCACCCCCCCCCACACACAUACCCCACUUCCUUGAGACUGUUAAAACUACCAGCCUGAGCUGAGUUUGAAAUUUAGAACCCAAAUGUGAAAUAAAGAUCCAUGCUUGGCAAAGAUGAAGCGUAGCAGGGGAAUGUUCUUAGGAAG